CUUUCUCGUGCCGCACCACGUUUCAGGCGAUUCUUACUUGGUCAAACACUCUGGGACAACAAAGACAAAAAAAUCUUCCACGUCCGAUAAAACUGCGGUUCCUUCUUCUUC
rnacentral:ribozyme from 1 species